rnacentral:rRNA from 1 species
AUAUUCUGUGAGCAGGAAAGCAGGGGAUCGCAAGACCUUGCGCUGAUUGAGCGGCCGAUAUCAGAUUAGCUAGUUGGUGAGGUAAAGGCUCACCAAGGCGACGAUCUGUAGCGGGUCUGAGAGGAUGAUCCGCCACACUGGAACUGAGACACGGUCCAGACUCCUACGGGAGGCAGCAGUGGGGAAUUUUGGACAAUGGGCGCAAGCCUGAUCCAGCCAUGCCGCGUGCGGGACGAAGGCCUUCGGGUUGUAAACCGCUUUCAGCCGGAAAGAAAUCGCCGUUUUUAAUACAGACGGUGGAUGACGGUACCGGAAGAAGAAGCACCGGCUAACUACGUG